UGGGGAAUAUUGCGCAAUGGGGGAAACCCUGACGCAGCGACGCCGCGUGCGGGAUGAAGGCCUUCGGGUUGUAAACCGCUUUUGAUUGGGAGCAAGCCUUUUGGGUGAGUGUACCUUUCGAAUAAGCGCCGGCUAACUACGUGCCAGCAGCCGCGGUAAUACGUAGGGCGCAAGCGUUAUCCGGAAUUAUUGGGCGUAAAGAGCUUGUAGGCGGUUCGUCGCGUCUGGUGUGAAAGCCCAUCGCUUAACGGUGGGUUUGCGCCGGGUACGGGCGGGCUAGAGUGCAGUAGGGGAGACUGGAAUUCCCGGUGUAACGGUGGAAUGUGUAGAUAUCGGGAAGAACACCAAUGGUGAAGGCAGGUCUCUGGGCUGUUACUGACGCUGAGAAGCGAAAGCGUGGGGAGCGAACAGG
rnacentral:rRNA from 1 species